rnacentral:misc_RNA from 1 species
CACCCCAUCCUCUUUACCACCUCGCUUACUCGUGGGGCGCGCCCUUCUUGCCGGUCUUCUUCACCGCGGUCUCCCCGAACUCUAUUCAUCUAUAUAUAUAUAUAUAUAUAUUCAUCUCCCCUUCCCCGCUUCGACAUCUCCGCUUUUCGUUUUCCUUGGUGGCGGCAGUGGUGGGUGUGUGGCGUUCGUAGGAACAUCUGCAGCCAAAACAAAGGAAGGCGGGGCGGCGGGAAGGAGGCGCACACCACAUGCACGUGCGUGUUGUUGGCACUUGCAGCUUCGCCUUGUCAUUCACCUUUUCCUUUCCUUGUGUGCCCGCCUGUGCGGCUCUUUGGUGUUGCUUGAGGGGAGAGGAGGGAGGAGCUCGCCCUCUUCUCUUCUGCCGUGGGCAUCCACAGAAAGCAAACAACAGGAUAGCGAGAAGACGGGGCACGGCGAGACAUUGGAAACACAGAGGAACGGGAAGAGAGCACACGAGAUAGAACGGCGGAAGACGAGACGCGAGAUUGAAACACACAAGAACACAGCAAGGGUCGAGGUAGGGGCGAGUCAGCUAUCCAGCACAUGUGUAGUUGUUGUGCGUGUGUGCGAGGAGAAAGAAGCUAAGCAGCAACAGGUGCCGGUUUUUGUUUUUGGAGGGAAUCCUUCCCACACCCACAUCCCGACCCCCACACACACCCUCCCGAGUGUGCACAGCGACACUGGCUCCGCGAUAUACUGUUCACUGCAUUGCCAGAGAAGUAAAAAGUUGUUGUGUAGCGUUGUGUGUGUGUGUGUGUGUGCUUGUGGCUCAUUUUUUGUUUUGGCGGAAAGAGCCCCUCCCUAAGCCCUGCAUGCUUGGAGAGGCACUGGCACCACCACCACCACCACCACACCCGUGAGCCCCUUCCACCCACUCACCGCCUCUCGUGUGUGUUUUGUGCUUGCUUGCGAAAGGGGCCGUCGAGCCCUCCAUCAGCCAUCAGAAAGUUUUCUUUUCUUGCUAACCACUCUGUGGCGGAGCACACAGUGAAGCAGACAGACCAACAGAAAGAAGGUAACGCCCCGCUGCGCGGACGAGCUGUGCAGUUAUCGAGACGUAAACGAAAGCGAAAAGGAGCGAGACAGACAGAGAACGAGGCGGUGCGUGCACGCAAGGGGGGAGGGAUACCGCACCGGGUGCAUCUGCCCAGCUCACUCACCCGAAAAAAAGGAAAAAGGGGAGGGGGCGCGCGUGAAACAACAGAGACACGCUCUCGUGCUUGCUCGCCCCUCCGUCUUCUUCUCCGGUUCUCAUUUUGGUGUUCGUGAAUUUUAUUUUAUUAUUUUUUAUUCGCUUGGACUUUGUUGCGCCAAGGACGCCCGCCUUGUGGAGUUAGCGCGAAACAGAAGGGAACGCGAGAGGCGUAGUCGUGUCAUCAGAGGCCCUCGGUGUGUGUGCGUGUGCGUGUUCAUGCUGGCGCGUGUAGCUGCUCUUGUACAUAUUUUUUUUUGUUCGAGGAAGAGAGUUUCCCAAUCGUGAUUCCUCGUGCCGUGUGGGCGGCAUCAGCGUCGUCGCUUUCUUUGGCGUCCCGUGCGUGUGCGUGUGAUCGUAGCGGCAAGAGAGCGGUCGAGCCGUGGGUUGUGCGGGGCGCAUUGUGUGGCCCCCGCCCCCCAAGCCAUCGUGUUUGGUUUUCCUUAUUUUUUGUAUAGUGUUCACCCUCCGGCUCCCUUCUUCGUGCCGACCUCAGCGCACGCAGACACACACACACACGCACGCACACACACACACACACACACACAUACACGCCUUGUUGUUAUUUCUUCGUCGUCGUCGUCUCUUUCACCGUCCUUGGAACGCUCGAACGUCGCCGCCUGCAAGGUCGCUCAUCCACGAUGGGGAUCCUUCCCAGCCGCGAGAGUCACGAGUACCCCGGCGCCUUCCACUUCGCGCUGAGCGGCAGUCACGCCAUGGCGAUUCUACCACUGACUGAGCACUUCUUUCCUUCGGUCGACUCACUCGCCUUCCGGCAGCUCUAUGCGGGCCGCGACAUGCAAUCUGCCAAGUACAACUUCUCCCUCAUAUCGCCUGAACUCCUGCGCAAGUACCGGCACCGCUCCAUGGAGCAGAGGCGCGGGAAAGGGGGGGUGGGGGAUGAGGCGAUGGCGCCACCGGCGGGCCGCAGUAAGCCGCAGCCGUAUCUUCGACAUGGCCAGCCGCCUGGUGACGACAGUGACGCAGAUGAGAAGUGGGUCGGUGUUGACACGAUCGACGCGAGCAACUACGGACAGUUCUUCAAGGACGACACGCAGUGCGUGUCGCCGAAUGACCCGACGUCGCUGUCCCCGGAUGGUGACGAGGAGGUCUGCGAGGAGCUGCAAUGGCCAAACCCAGUGGCGCACUGGCGCACCCACGACACAGCCAAGCAGCUCAUCCAGGACAAGGACAACGAGCUGGGCUUCACCGAUGAGCUCAAUUAUGUGAGCUUAGAUGGAAAGGGAGGGGGUCUGCGCUGCCUGCCAUCGUCGCUGUCGCUGCCGUGCUCCUCCGGCCAGUGUCCGCGGUACGGGCAGACGCACAACGCCUCCAUGGAGGCAGGGACUGACAGCACGGCGGCGACGGCGCACUUAACUGCCGAGGAGCGCGACUUGGUGAAUCGGUUCUUCGCACGCAGUCCGGAGGCGCUGUACAACGCGCUCGUCGUGGAGCCGAACAAAGGUUUUCUCGUUGACACAAACAAAGAGAUGUGCCACUUGUACGCAGCGGAGCAGCGCUGGAAGGAAGCACGUAACGUUGUGCGCGCCUACCGGCGCCAGUGCAAGCAAGAUGCCGCUGCCGAGGGCGCGCCCCAGCCGGUGGCUGGCGAGUCCCCCAACUCACCAAAGGGCCAGCCACAGCGGCGCAUUACGAAGGAGGAGGCUGAGAGGGCGGCCACGGUUCCGCCACCACCGGUAUUUCUGCGACCGGUGCCUCAAGUGAUUAUGGUUCGCAUGAGCCGUGAAGAAGAGGAGGCGACGCGCGCGGCGUACCUCGCAGAGCAACAGCGGUUGCGUAGUCGCUCGGGGCAGCCGCAACAAAGCCAAUCCGGCGGCGGCGAUGACGCUGCUGCCUCGAUGUCGUCCUCCCCCGCUGCGGCAGGCGCCGCCGAGGGAAGUAACGUCCUCCGCCCACCCUUGAUAAAGCCCGUCUCUCACCUGCACGUGCCGACGACGCGCUAUCACCGCUUCGAGGACGACCCCAAGUACAAGGACGGCCGCAUCCACCUCGUCGAGGAGGAUGGCGUGCUGUACAUGUUCGCCUACAACACCGCCUACGUCGACCCGCGUCUGCGCAUGAGGCAGCAGAGAGAGGAGCUGCUGAAGCAGCAGCGCCAAGGAAAGGAGCGCAAACAGCAUGAAAGCCAGGAGGAAAGCUUGGAGCGCGGCGAAGCCUGCCGGUCACCUUCCAGCGCGGGGGCUGUAGUCGCUGGCACCACUGCUGAAGGGACCGCCAGUGGAACCGCAGCAGGCUCACCAGGGAGCUGUAGCACAGAGCGUAACGCCGCUGCCACACCGAUGCCGGACAGCGGCAGCGGUAGCGGCGACGGCGACGGCGACGGCGCGCUGUUUCACGGGAACCGGCAGACCUCAUCCUUCUACCACACGGUCUCCGCCUUCGGUAACGAGGAGGACGAGGCGGGCCUCGAAGAACACGGAGCCCAGUCCAAAAAGGUCAAGGAUGCCAGCCCUAGGCGCGCGAGCUCCACGGAGGGCUCUCCAGUCGCGGCGGGGACGAUCCCCGCGGUCGCUGCGAAGCAGACGGAGAGCACCGCGGAGGAGGCGGACGCAGAGGAAGACGCAACGCUGUCGUCCGCCUGUAACGGACCAGGAGGGCACCAGCGGCGGCAGAGCGCCAUCCUGGUCGACGACAGCGCGUUGCUGCAGCGCUCCGACGGAAAGCCGAGCACCUCCAGCGACGACGAAGACGACGACGACGGUGACGAACAGCGCAAGGGCGCGUCAGUCUCGGCGUGCAGCGCCGGCGUGACCGCGACCACCGUCAAUGGGGCGACGUCAGCGGCAAUGAAGGAGAAGCGGGCGCGCGUGGUGCAGCAGCUGGAGCUUGUCACGGCUGCCCCUUUCAUCCUCCCCAUUUGCCCGGUGCGCAUUGUCGGCUGCAACGGCUACGCCGAGUCUAGCUGCCGCGGUACGCCGUGGCUGCGCGGCUACGAGGACGAACCCGAGGAGGACGCCUACGUGGAGUCGCUGCCGGUGAAGCCGCCGAUCAUGUCCGGUGGUGGUUUCAUCGACGCCAACAUCGGUGACAAAAUUCUUAGUCGCGCCUACCUGCUGGGCUUCCAGGUGUACCGGAACGUCUGCCUCGACGCCGGGCUGCCGAAGACGCUGACGCGGCCUUUCUGGACGCUGGGCUUGCUGUCGAACAUUCCGCUGCUGCAAAUCUCGCGUGAGAUGCGCUUCCGCAUGCGGGCGGCUGCCGCGGAGGUGGAGCUCGGCUACCGAGGCCUGCGCGACAUGAUCAAGGGCACGGAAAACGACCUUCAGUCCUACAUCUACGGCUUUUCGGACAUCCUGCCAUACCUCCAGCGGGCCGCGCGCGCGCGUGUCGAGCUGGCAGAAGCGGAAGCGAAAGCAGCCGCCGCCGCAGAGGGCGGUGGCGGUGGCGGCGCUAGCGACGGGGCGGCAAGCUCGUCGUUGCUCCCCGUUGGGCAUGGCGCCUCGAAAACACCGGAGGAAGAGGCCCAAGAGAGCCAGAGCCUGCAGGUCCCGCCUGCCAUCCCGACCCGGUCCUCGCAAGCAGCCCUGCAGCACAGCCUGCUCUUCCCACUCAACGAGAUGGAGUUCUACACGCAGUUCACGAUCCGCGGCAACCAGUCCCUCUCCCGCGUCCGCUGCGAGGCGCAGGAAUCGUUCUUUCACCUGAUCGCCGAGGCGACCGCCCCGGUGUCGACGUCGCUCUUUAUGAAGCCGCUGGAGCUGCCCACGUACGACUACGGUGGCGCCAUCCGGCUGCACCUCCUGUGCAACCGCGUGACGUGCGCGGACGAGCUGCAGGUGCUGCCGCCGCCGCGCAAUCUCGACCAGCUCCUCUCCGAUCAUCGACGGCGACUGCAGCUGCGGCGUCAGCCCCCCGCGUCGGCGGACGGCAACGCGGCGCCGCCCUAUCUCGUUUAUGCGGUCGUGCACCCAUCUGGCAAGGCGCGAGGGCCCUCGUUGGAGCACUACAAGAGAAAUCUGCAGGCCCCCGAAGACGGUGCCGACGCGAACACGCUGGACGAGGCGGAGGCAGCCGCGGCUUCCACCGACGGCACCGACGGCGACGGACGGUACGCGGCGCACCAGUACACAUACCCGCCGGGCUCCUUUGUUGACAGCGACAUGGUCAUCUACAAUGUCCACAAGGGCCGCUGGGAGCACUUCGAGUACUUCCAUCACCAGCAGCUGGCGCAGCGGCGCGCGCGCAAACUUCAGGCGCAGGCGGAGAAGGCGGCGGGUGAGCCAGACGGCAACAAGACGCCGGCGCAGAGCAACAAGGGCACCGCCUCUGCCGCUGCGGCGACGCAGGCUGCCGAGAGCGGCGAGGCCUUUCGAGGCGCCUUGGUCCCGACCAGAGGCGGCGGCUUCGAUGCCAAUGAUGACGACGAUGAGCAGGAUAUCCACCUCGAGGACAUUCUGCUCUGCUGGAUCAAGCGCCGCCUGCAGAGCGCCACGAUGCGCAACCGCACUGACCCGGGGUGGCUGCGCGACAGCGAGGGGCACAUUGUGCAGGAGGGCCGCUACUACAUCUGGGGCUUCGAGCAAGACGGCCAGCAGUAUUUCUACGGUCUGAUCCCAAAGUUCGCCAAGGAAAAGAAGAACAAGCGGCACAGCACGGCUGGUGGCAACGCGCACAAUCAACAUAAUCAGGACAGCCACACCCGCCGCAUCACCGCGCACGGCAGCGUGUGCGGGUCGUCGAGUGCUUUGAACAGUCAUAGCCGACCUCAGAUCGGCGGCGGCGGCAGCAGCAGCGUCAGCGCUCGUGACCGCCACGGCACACUACCCGAAACCCUCACUCCUGCCUCGCAGCAGGGCCCCGUCAGCGGCUCGAUAAACGGGCAGCCGACUGAUGGGCGCGGUGGUGGCAGGAUGGAGAAAACGGAGGUGCGGGCCGGACCGGCGUCCGCUGACGAAAGCGCCAAAAAACACGCGGCGAUGGCAGCGGCGCCGUCCGUGUCGCUGAGCGACGUCAAGGGUGAUGCUGGCAGCGGACUUCGAACACGCACUGACGCGCCGCUGAGCGCCGCCUGCCCAGACUCGCAUUCGAGGCGACAGCACCAGCAGCAGCACCCGCGAUCACCCGGUGCUGUGGGCGGGGGCGCUGGACGCGGGACUGCCUCGUCUGGCAGCGCUGCAGCAAGCUCCAGCACGGCAGGCGCGAACCGCUUGAGCAACCCGAGCAACGCCACCAGUGGUGCUCGCCUACCCGCACAGGCAAGCGGCGCACCCCGCACUGGCGCUAGUGAGAAGUCAUCGCCGCCUACGUCGUCGUCCCCUGCGGCAGCCUCGGCGUCUUCGUCCACCUCAUCCCCUGUCGCAACGUCAGCGGUACCUCCAGCCUUCGCCUACAACACUCCAGGUGUCGCCAGCCGACGCACUGCAGGUUCCCGCGGAGCCGCGUCACCACCACCAUCGGCGCCCACAGCGUUGGUGACUCCUAGGGAAUCGGAGGCAGCGCUAGCCGGAAGAUCAGGCGCGGCCGCAGUAGGACGCGGCGGCGCAUCCCGUGCCGGCACUUCCCUAGCAGAAUCGCCGCCGUCGUCCGUGGUCGUUGGAGGAGCUGCAGCCGAGGCAGCCGCAUCGUCCUCCAACCCCCGCAAACUUCCGCAACGCCAAGACGGUGUGAGCCGCAUCAGCGGCCGAGGCAAUUUCUCGCGUGAGCAGCAGUUCAGCAGCUCGGCUACUACCACGGCGCAAUUCAGCCGCCAGUCCGCCACUGCACCGGCCGCGGCGUCUUACACGUCUGCCGAGGAGGUCGGGUACCGUCAAGGACGCGGAGAGCGGCGAGGCAACGGAGCAGAGUCGGCGUAUGCGUCCCCACAGUCACAGCAGCGCGAACCUCGCUCUGCGAACGCGUCUCCGCCUCCGCCCCCGCCGCCGCCGCCGCCCCCUGCUGCCCGUCCGUACCCUCCGCACAUCCCACAACAACACCCGGAGGUGCACUCAGCCAGGCACCCUUUGUCGGGAGGCUCCUCCCUCGCCUCCGCGAACCCUGUAUCGCAGCAGCAGCAGCAGCAGCAACAAGGUUGUCGCAUCAGCGACCCCGGCGCAGUGGUCUUGGGAUGUAAAGGAGCUCCGCAGAACCGCUACCAUGCGCCGCCGCACCAGCCGCCGCCGCCGCCGCUCCAGCACGAGUACAUGCAAGCGCCAUCAUCAGCAGCGUACGACAACAGCACCAAUGCCACCAACUACGGUGGCGGCAGUGGUGUGAACAGGUACGCUGCGACGUCACACGCAUCGGGUCACGGCUACUCGGACAUGCCCCCUCCUCCUCCUCCUCCCCAGUCACCGCCACCGCCGCCGCUUCUCCCUGCCGGCGCGGAGAGCGCGGCGUAUGAGCAGUCACACCAAGGCUACCCUGCUCCUGUAGAGCAGCAGCACCACCAGCAUCCGCAGCAGCAGCAGCAGCCCUCCGACUCCCCACCACCGCCACUACACCUCCAUCCACCCACCGCGUAUAUGAACACUGGUGCCGCGCAGGCAAACCAGCGUCCUACGUUGGUGCUCGCCGGGCCGCGAGUGCCUUCUCCUCGUCACGCUCAGCAGCAGCAGCAGCAGCAGUAUGUCUCGUACAACACAAGGCCCCACCAGCCGCAGCAGCACGUGUCUCACCAGCCGUCCUAUAAAACGCAGCCGGCUAUGGCAAACGUCGUCAGCGGUGCCAGGAUGCAGCCGCCGGAAAUGGUGCCUGGCCCCUACCACCACCACACCCAGCAGAUGAUGAUGGCCAUGUCCGCGCCGAACGCUGGCCCCGCUGCCCCGCCGCCGGCGCAGGCCAACGCCGCCAUGAACACAAGUUCCUCCCGCUAUGCGCCGCACCCUCGGAUGGUGGCCAGUGGCGCCGGAGCGGCGCCGAUGCAGGAGCAGCAGCAACUGGCGUCGGUGACGGCCGUCUCAGUUGCACCUCCCUCUGCGCUGACUGGGGGCAACAGCAUGUACUCGGACGUGUCGGCUGCCUCCGUGGCGCCGUCAGGUUCGCGGCCCACGUCUUAUUACCCCACGAGUCCCUCGCAGGUGUCUUACGGCACGUCGUCACAGACGGCGACAUCCGCCAUGCACCCUGCAGGACCGCAGGGCAGCGCUGCGUCUCCUCAUACUGGCUCCGGCCCUCCGGUGCUGCCGCCGCUAAAGCAGCAGCAGCAGCGGCAGCCAGAGUACCCUCCAUCAGCGAUGAUGGAUGCCAGCACAGCAGGUGGGCAAGGAAGUGUCGCCAGCCAGUGCUAUCUGCAGCACAAGAAGCCGCAAUCGCCUCCGAGCGGCCCAGCGUCGGCCCCCCCAGGAGGCGCGCACUACUGCCAGAUGACGUCACCCACUUCACAGCAGCAUGCCUAUCAGCAGCAGAUGGGGACACGCAACGCCAGCUAUGAUGGAGGAAGCAGUGGUCAUAAUUACGGCACCUACGCCGCGUCCACCGCCAAUCCGAACGCCAACAGCAGCUUCAGCCGCGUGGGGCUCUCACUGUCGGCGUCGGCAGCGACGGUGAAAGCGGUUACGGGCGUCUCUGGAACCUCAACGCUCAUGAGCAAUGCCUCGGCGUCUCUGCCGUCUACCGGCAGUGGUAUAGGGCGAGGCGCGCAGGGCUACGCGCCGCAACCGUCAGGGUACCCUACGAGCGGCGGCACUAGUUUCACUGCGGCCCCGGUGGUGGCAAUGGCGGCAGGAGCGACCGCACCGACAUCAUCCAUGAUGCCUGGCGCGGAAGGCGGCGCAGUCAAAGCCUUCCCCCCGUACCAGGCCUCGCCGCAUCCACAGCAACAACAGCACCAACAGCCAUCACCCCAGCAGCAUCAACAGCAGCAGCAGCAGCAGCAAACGAGCGUCGGUGGCAGGGCCGCAGGAGCUCCCUCACCGGCCCCACACCAGUAUCGCACCACACCCACUGCCGAGCAGCAGCAGCAGCAGCGGGAUUCGAGGUAUCCACUUCAGGUAAUGGCGCAGUCGUAUAGCAACGAUUACAACGGCAACGGCGGCGUGCCGGCAAUGGCAGCUGGCGGGAGGGCUUCGAGAGGUGUGGCGGUGGCCAGUGAUGGUUUGGACAGCAGUAGCUACGAUGACGCCGUGAUGCACGGCAGCCGAGGCACUCAAGCGGCAGCUAGUGAAUACCAGCUGUCAUACCAGCAGCAGUAUCAGCAGCCGUAUCCGCAAUGGCAGCAGCAGCACUCCACAUCAGCCUCCUCCCAGCCAUCGUCGUGCACGCCUACGCCGCUUCCUGUUCAGCAGCAGUAUCAGCAGCAGUAUGGGGCACAGGCAGGUAACGGCAGCGACAACAACGGCAGUAGAGGCCACACCCAUACGCAAGCGAGCCGCGCCGGUGCCACGGGCAACGGGAACGCCCCCUCAGCGUACGCGCACGAGCAGCGAGCAUCACCGUACCCGCAGCACGCGGGGGCGCCGCCCGCGUCUCCGGCAGCAGCUGCUGGCGUUAGUAGUGAUCGCGGUGCAGCAGCCGUUGUGACAUCACCGGCUGCAGUCGCGCACAUGUCUACUCCCAUGCAGAGUGCCAACUCGUUCAACAGCAACGUCGCCGCCAUGACGUCUGCCGGCUCUUGUGAAUCCACGCAGGCGUCAUCCGCUGCGGCGCAGCUGCAGCGUAACAGUGACAGCUACGGGUACCGUUCCUCACAGUCUGGACCCACCUCGCCGUACUUACAGGCGUCACCGCAGCAGCAACAGGAGCAGCAAGAACCUCAGCGCUAUCUGCAGCAGAACCAGUACCCCCAGCAGCAACACCAACUACAGCAGCGGCAGCGCUCUGCUACUCGGGCCACCGCCGCAGCUGGCCCUUUCCCCUGUGGCGCAGGUGGUGGUCUUCAACCAAAGACGAUGAUGAGCGCUGGUGGGGCCCCAUCCGCGUCCGUCAAUCAUGCAUACACGCUUCACCACCACCACCACCAGCAGCAGCAGCAGCAGCAGCAGCAAAGAAUCACUCAUUCGUCCCCUGCGCCGGGCGGGUACUACCAAAACCAAGUUCUAGCGCAUCCACAGCAACAGCAGCAGCCGUCCGUAGCAUUGCAGCGGCUAGCCGCGACACCGAACGCCAGCGGCACGCUGCUCCGCGCCUCGCCGGGGUCGCAGCAGCGCCACAACCAGCAGUAUCAACGACAGCAGCAGCAGAAGCCAGCGUCUCCGUACGCCUCUACGAAGGAAGAAGCGGAAAGGCAGAUGCGUAGGAGCGGCAACUACAACAAUCACAGCGUGCACAACAGCAACGUGGGCGUCGCGGAGACCUCAUACGACUCGAACAGCAACAACACGGCGGCCCAGCGCUUCGCACACAACCCCUACGCGAUGCAGUAGCGGGAACAAACACCAAAAAGAAAUGAAGAAACCUACUUCGAAAAAAAAAAGCAGCUUCGUGUCGAGGAGCGGAGCGUCUGGCGGAUGUGCUGGAGAGGAGUUAGGUGACGCAGCUGCCUGGCGGGCGACGCCCCAUACGCAUGCACGGUGUCGACACACCUACAUAACGAUGCUGCGUCCGGCACCCCUCCACACACACGCACACACAUCUCUCACACCUGCCAUUCUUCUUUUAUUUUUUGCCUUUUUUUUUCGUUUUUUUCUCUGUGUGUGAUUGCUAUUAUUAGUGUCGCUUUCGCUGUGGCUGCCCCCACCCACCCUCCGCCUCCCACCCUAACCCCCCCCUCUCCAAGUCUGCCCGGUACUUUCUGUUAGGGUACGGCGGGUAUGUGGGCGCUUACCAUAUAUAUAUAUAUAUAUUUGUGUGUGUCUGUGUAUGUGUGCUGUUCUUACGUGGAUGUCUAUGGAGAGUUUAUAAAAGGUUUGUUUUCGCGACCGCGUGCUCUGCUGUUGUUGCUGUUGAUAUCGCGGCUGUGUGGUGGCUUCUCUCUCGGGUUGCCUGAUUUUAUUUUCUUUUUCCGGGGGAGGGGGGAGGUCGCUCUCUGGGUCGGUGUGGAAAGGCGAGGAGGUGGAUGGGUGGCAAAGGGCGGUGUCGCAACCGCUCGCGUUUCCUUCCUCCGCUCUUCGUUGUUUUGCUUGUGGUUGUGAUUUGACUGGAAAGCAGGGCUAUUCGGGGUCGUCCCGAAGUGUGGCCUCUCUCUUUCACACACACACACACACACACACACGCGUAGGCGCACACGCCUACGUAAAGCCGCAAGCGAAGAGAGAGAGGGGAAGACGCAUCUUCUCUGUACGUCAGGACGGGCGGCAGCGGCGGCGGCGACGUGAAGACGCCCGUGCAUCUCGUCGUAUGUGUUUUUGGAUGUGCAUUCGUGUUACCCGCUCCCGCUCUACUGCACGCCCUCUUAUCAUAGCGUGCGCAUGGUUCCUUCUUGUGUCUGUGUCUCUGUGUGUGUGUGUGGGGGGGGGGGGGGGCAGGGGGGGUUGGCGUGUGUGUCUGCGUGACGGCUGGUACAGUUGCAUCCUCUUCCUUCGUCGUCUGUCGUCGUCUCUGCAGCAAAGUCAUCCGUGGCAGUGGUUGACGAAAACACAAAAAAUGAGCAGCUGUCGGGCUCCAUCGCAGCAGCCUUAUCGAUGGGGAGGCCUCGUCGAUAGACGCCGUGGUGAUGUAUCAGAGCAGUAGGCGGAAGAUCAAUCCUUUUUUUUUGGCGAGGAGGGGCUGUGGUAGCCCUGGAGCGCUAGCGGAGGGAGAAACAUGAGAAAUGUCGGCGUCUCUCUCUCUCUGCUCUCGCCGUCAUUAAGCCGUAUUCUGUGACGGGCGCACAUACAACACACAGAGAGAAAGAGAGCUACACGCAUGUGUCCUCCUUUUCUUUUUUCCAGUGACUCCUCUGGGUAGAUCUCACAAGGGUUCGCGCGCGCGUUUAUGUGUGUGCAUCUGCUUCUCG